AGACCACCACAAGGCAUCAGGAUGGUGAAGCAACUGAGAAAACACCCAAUCUGUUUCAGGAUGUUGAGCCAUCAACCUCGAUUGCUGAACCAAACAGAGUGAAGAUUUGCAGUUAUCAGUCCCAGUUCAAAUUUAGCAAAAAGAUAAGAAGGCCCAAGGUACCUACCAAGACGAGCAAGAAAACCCUGCGAAUGGUGAUGAAAAGAAAGACAUCUGUAAACAAUACACCACCGAAAAAGGUGUUUCAAUGUGUGAUUGAGAAUUUGGGUAGACUCAACAUACCACCUAAAAAAUAUGUGGCAUCUGAGCAAUGGCCAACUGUGUAGAGACUAAAUAUAUAGUUACUACACAGUGCUUUGACUCUGAAAAUAAAAUCAAUCUGAUAUGAAAA
ensembl:lincRNA Gm14773 predicted gene 14773